rnacentral:lncRNA from 1 species
UUUUUUUUUUUUUUUUUUUUUUUGGUGGGCAAGCUCCUAGCCUCACAUUAAAAGCGUAAUUUUCUCAUUAUUGCGUUUUCCAAAUUGGUGUCGUUUUCAAAAAAUUAGUACAUAAUUUUUAUUCUUUUGCCACUCCUAUUCCUUGUCCUUUUUAGAAAGAUAAUAUACACCAUUCAAAUUUCUUAAUGUGGAGGGUGAACUUUGAAAACUCUGUGUAAGUAUCACCAUUAGGUCAUUAUUGUUAAAAUGUUGAGUUGCCCAAAAAUGACAAAUAUUUGGGAUGGAGGGAUUGAUUAGUAAAGUAAACAUAGGAAAUACAAAGAAAGCAAGAAAGAAGUGCAAAGAAAAUUCAUAAUGGUAGCUUUCUACACCAAUCAGAUGUAUGUGUAUACUUUUAUAUAUAUAUAUAUAUAUAUAUAUAUAUGUAUGUAUUCUUUAUUACUCGUUAGACGUUAUAUUUUUCAUUCCAUAAAGUAAGUAUACAUUAGUAUUUUGGGAGUUCACAAACAUUGUCACAUUUUUAAUAUUAUACUUCUUUACCCCACAUAAUAAAGUGACACAUGUUCCUUUAUUUUACAUUAACGAUGGCCAUGAAUCAUGUAAGAAUAGUCUGUGGAUGAUAUCUUCUAACUAAUAUUAAAUUAAAAGGCACAUCACGCCCCAAUCCAUGGUGUAAAAGAGUUUUGGAUUCAAAUCCUCUUUCUCCAUUUUUACUUUUUAAAUCUCACACGUCCCUUGGUAAUUUUUUUUUUUAAAAGUUUUAUAGGGUAAAAAGGAUUUCCAAAAGGCAAUAGAAAUUUCCAAAAUUUCAGAUUAAAGUGAAGUAGUGUGUCCUGAAUGAUUCACAAAAAAGAUUUUCAUUGCUUAAUCCUUUUCCCCUUUGGAUUUCAAUCCGCAUAACCUGCUUUAUAUGCUACCACUUAAUCAACCCGCGCUUAAUGAUUCAAAUCCAAAAUUCACGCUUCUCAGCUAAACACAGUCCACGCUUUCUCGAAACUAUCUUAACCAUUCUAAGUCCAUUCCGGGCAAGCAUGCAGAUCUUCGUCAUAUCCCAAAGCAGCAGGACCAUUGUUUUCGAGGUGGAAAUUUCCGAUACCAUCCAAGUCGUCAAGGCCAAGCUUCAGCUGAAAGAUGGAAUCCCUCCUCAGCACCAGAGCCUCGUAUUGGCCGGCAAACAACUAGAUGAAGAUCGCACACUCGAGGAUUACGACAUCUAGGAGAACUCCACAUUAAUGGCAAGGCCGAGGUACACUGACCAGCGAUGUUUUUAAACUUGGACCGGUCAGCGAACCGGAGAGGUGGCCGGUUCGCGGUUCGACCGGUCCAACCGGCCGGUUCACAGGUUCACUGUUUUGUUUUUUUUGUUUUUACUAAGCAAGUUUCAUUACUUGACAGCUAAUGUACAAUUUAAUAUAAUUAUUGAUAACUUAAGUUUCUAAAAUGCAUUCACCAACAUAACUAAAUUUAAGUUGAAAUAAUAAUAAAUUUCCUAAAAGUUAUACAUAAAACAUGGAAUGAUAAACAUAAUUAAAAUAUCAUAAUUCACCACAAGUUUUCAUAAAUUCAUUAUAAACAUAAAUAGAUACAAUCCAAAUGUUCACCAAUUAUCACAAAUAAAAACACAAAAAAUAACUAAAAUAAAUAUUGAAAUUCUUUUACAAUCCUUAAAAAAAUCCAUAAAAGAGUUCAACUCAAGACAAACCAUUUGAAUGACAAACUUCCAUUAGUGGCAUGACAAGUAGCAACAACACCACCUUCACAAUUUCAUCAACUUAACUUGGAAAAGUUAAAAUUUUAUUAUAAAAAUAUAAAUUAAUUGCUCAAACUAAAAAAAACUAAAAAAAUUUGAAAAACAAAUAUACAGCUAAACACAUUAAAAAUUAAUUAUUACUAAACAUCACUAAUUAACAUGUUAUAUUAAAUUCAAUGAUCCUAUACAAUUAAUUAUUUUAAAUUCAAUGAUCAAUAGCUUCGAUUAUAUGCCAACUAACAUAUUUUUUACCAGCCUAAUGUUAUUAUUUGUAAGUCCUACCCAAUUCCUACAUGGAGGUGUGCUACUUUUGCAAAAAUUUCAUCCUUAAUUACUCAAAUAAAAAUAAAACAAAAAUUAGGGAAACAGAUGAAAAUUGGGGGGGAGGGAAAAAGAAGAAAAUGCAAAAAAAAAAUCAACUAAAGAUAAUAAUAUAGAAAAAAAAGCUUGAAAAGAGAAAAAUUAAACUUACCAAAAUGAUGGAAAACAAGAAAAGUUGAAAUUUCCAACUUGUUUACAAUCUGCCAAAGAUGAUAACCUGAUAAUAAUGGUGAAGACUUGAGAAAAUCUUGUUGUGGAUAUUUGGGUUUAAAAUGGUUAUGAAGAAAAAAUUGAAAAAAAAAAUCAAGAGAAGAACUAGAGAGCGCCGCCUAAUGAAGCCGAGAAAGUAAUUGAUGGAAAGAAAAUUUAGAAAAGUUCAUCUGCAUUGAUGCACUUUGCUUUUUCUGUACCUGAUAUUUUAAUAUAUUUUUAGUCAAAUAGAAUUGUCAACAAGCUUAACUAUGGUCUAGUGGUAAAAUUGUCAUAUGUAAAUGUGGAAGCUUAGGUUCGAAUCGGAGCUACACCAUUUUUGAUAUUUUGUUGAGGAAUUAAAAAAACCGUCGGUUUACGGUUCGAACGGUUCAUCCGGUUUUCAAUGGUUUUCAUGAACUUCCGGUUUUAGCACUAGAUCGGACCGUUGACAUGUCCGGUUCGUGGUCCAACCGGUUGAACCGACCGGUCCGGUCCGACUCUGAAAACAUUGCUGACAAGAGAAAAUUCCAUCAUAUGCAGCCAUAUGAUCCUCCCAAUAAACCUCACAAAAGCACCCUCCCCAAAUCUUUGUCGGAAAACAGUCCACAAAAGUACCCGCCCGUGUUUAUCAUAGUAAUCGUUUAUUUUUUUGGUUAAUUGUACUGCUUCUUGAUGCUAACUAUGACAGGUUUCUUGACGUUAUUAGAUGCCAUUUAUGUUUUUUUAGCAAUGAUCAGUUAAUUGGAAAUCUUUUAUCUUGUAUUAUUGACUGGAAUUUGAAUUCUUGCGGUUAGAUUUUAUGUUCUUUACUGAUUAGCGAUACAGAAUUAAGCUAAUACAGAAUUAAUUCAUCUUGUAUUUAUGAUUGGAAUUUCUUCAUAUCAAUAAAUAUAGUAUCCCUAGACAUUGCACCUUUUACAUGGCUUAAUUAUAUAAAUAGUUAUUGACGAAAAAAAAUUAUAUAAACUGUUUGGCUAAGUUGUGCACCACUCACUCAUUAAUAGGGGUUUCAAGUAUUAGUUUUUUAGAAAAGUACAAAUAACAUGGAAAAAUGUAUAAAAACAAGGACAUAAUAAUUGUGAUUGUGUGUAUCAACAUAACAAAUUAGGGAAAAAUGCACUUUUCAUCCUUAAAGUUUGGGUUGUUAACCAAUUUUAUUCUCAAAAUUUCACCCAAAACGCAUUUUAUCCUCAAAGUUAGUAAUUUUGGCCAAUUAAGGACAAUUGACGGGAAUUGGCAAAUUUAUCGUUAGAACCAACUGUAAACCCAACAAAAAAUGGGUAAAAUCGAAUGGAACCGUAUUUCACAGCAGACGCUAAAAUACAAAGGGAUCAGUCACCAAGGUCAUGGCCCAGAAAAGUCAGUAGCUCUCUUUCCUAUGUUAUUGAUCCCUCCUUCUUGGACUUGGGAUCGCGAAAAAUCUAGAUGGGGACAAAGGAAACCCAUAACCAGGAGAAGGAGGCACUUAAGGCCCCGGGCCUAGUAUCCCUGAUUGAGCCAUUGGAGAAAGUGAGAAAUUUGGAGUCAUUGGAGAAGGGUGCUGAAAACUAGGAGAAAGCAAUGGAUACGAUGAUCUAGGAGAAAACAAAUUUAAGAAACCAGUUGGUGAUGGCAAAAGAAACUGAGAAGUUGGGGAAGGCAAAAGUGGAUGUGGACCAUUUAUUCGAGGUGAAGGAAGAGAGGGUGGAGGACCAUUCAUCCUAGGAGAUGGAAAAGGAGGAGGACCGUUCAUCCUAGGAGAUGUAAGUGGUGGAGGCAUGUUCAUUCUUGGAGAUGGGAUAGGCGGCAUAUGCGGAUUAGGAAGUAAACCAGAAGCAGAUGGCUGAGCUUGAUUUGGACCAAGACCCUGAGGUAUUAACUAGGGAAAAGGUUGCCUUGGCCCUGAAUCUAUGAUUGAAUUUUGAAGGUAUCGCAUGUAAGCUGAUAUAGGAGACUCAGCUGUGUUUGGCCAAGCAUCACCAGGAAUGAAGGGUGGCAACAUAGUUGGUGAUGGUUGGCCAUACUGGGGGAGAGGAGGUCUUGUGAAGUUGUUGUUGUAUGGAACACUAGCUGGAGGCUGUGCGGGAGCUGGCACUGGUACAGGAGGUUGAAUCGUCAUAGGAGGUCGAUUUAUUGGUGUCAAGGGCGGUGGCUGAAUCUUCUGCAACCGCAUACUUGCAGGUUUGGGGGGAUUUUGGGGAGGCCUAGGAGCAGGUGGUUCUUGAUUAUUCGAAGGUGAACCAGCAAACUGUUGCACUAUGUUUCGAAAAUCAUUUUUAUUAAUAUUAUACACCUAAGGCUGAGGUUGCUGCUUGGCAGUUUUAGUAAAAUUGGGUCGGUACAUUGGACUCUUCUUUAUGUUCUUCCCUAUCUUAUUCACACCCAAAUGAUCCGUAUGCCGAUUCAUCUGCCUAUUGGUACUAUCCAUAUCAACACCUUGAACCGACCAACAAAUUCAGAAUGGUGCAAGCUCAAAUUUCUUUUCUUCUUCAGCUAGUGAAUCCAACAAUUACCAUCUUAAGCAUCAAAACACCAACUGAUGAUCAAACCAAAGUAAAACUCAAAACUUUUGUGUAUUGAUUUUGAUGAUGUUUUUGCAGGGAUGAAGAUUAAGACAGACACACCUCUUGCCAAGAAGGCACGAGAAAGAGUUAUGGAAUUUUGCUAAUGAAUCAUCCGUUGGAUUGCCCAAUUUGUGAUCAAGGUGGGGAAUGUGGCUCCAUUCGGUUUUACCCAUUUUUUUGUUGGGUUUAUAGUUGGUUCUAACGAUAAAUUUGCCAAUUCUCGUCAAUUGUCCUUAAUUGGCCGAAAUUACGUAAUUUUGAGGAUGAAAUGUGUUUUGGAUAAAACUUUGAGGAUGAAAUUGGUCAACAGCCCAAACUUUAAGGAUGAAAAGUGCAUUUUUCCCUAACAAAUUAAGUAAUUUGUGUGUGCUAACUAGUGCUCAUUGGAUACUGAUCACUAGAAAAACCCUUACAUAAAUCAAGAAAGAUUAAUCUUACCUAAUUGCAAAACUAAGGUUACUCAUUGACAAAGUAUAAAUUGUUUUUCUUUUUGGUAAUUUUGUAAAUUGAUUUUUUAUUUGUUCAUGAAAUAAUGUCUUGACUAUAAGGAAAAAACAAAAUAUUGGGCUUAACUUAAUUUUAAUAAUAAUUAACAUCAAACCGUGAUUUUUUACAUUGAGGCCAUAAAAUCAUAGUAAUUCAUCAGACUUUCAGAGUUUUACAACACACUUUGUUGGGGAAAAAAUGGGAAAAAGAAUACACAACUGCAAACAUAAUCUAUUGUAUCUCCAGUUUAUCACGAGAGUCGGUGUCUCCUAGGCUACCGAUACCAAAAGGAUAAGCAUUAAGUAAUGAGGAUAAUGCAGAGUAUGCCAAUCUGGAAGAUGCUUCGUACACUAUUUCACUGGGAUGGAAAUCAUCCCAGAAAUAAUAUUCGUUUCUGUUGCUGCAGGGAAUUUGUCCAGGAAUGCAUUGUCCAGCACUAACUGUUGUAGACACAUUGCAGCAUGGUGCUUUAUCAAUUGUAAUUUCUGAGAUAGAUUUAGUGUAAGAAUGAAUUGAAAAAAGAAAAAAAAAACACAGUAUCAAAGAAAAAUGUGGAAGUAGACGUGUAGAAGAUAGAUGUACAAUGACGUUUUUUCUUUUUUUUCUUUUCUUUUCGUUUUUGUUUCUACAUAAACUGAAAUUUCCUAAGUGAACCUUAUGUAUCCAACUACACAUUCAAAUGGAAGCAUCAAUUUUUAGAAAAUGGCAAGUGGCAAGAUAGGAUAAUUUUGCUUUUAUAUUUACAUGUGAAAUGCUGAGUAGCUGAAGUGUUUCUAAGUCAAUCGUUCCAUUAAAACGUUAAUUUGCUUCAUUGGACUUCGAGUUUAUGCAAGUAUAUAUACUGAUGAAUUAUCAUUCCAUAUAGUAGCAACCAAUAUUUCGUGUUCAAAUGGUUAAAAGAUAAGAAAUCUAAUUGUUCAAAAUGUAUUAGACGGUUUAGAUCAUUUUAUUAGGAAAGGUAUGAAAAAUAAGAACCAAAAAAAAAAAAUUUUCAUAGAAGGGUACAACUUUUGGUAAAUAAGGGUAUGGGUAUUGUUCAUUGAUUAAAACAGUUAAUAAAUUUAUUGUUAAAUAACUAGAUCUUGUUUGAUAACCCAAUUCAGCACUUAAAUUUAAUAAUUUCAUAUUUUAACAUAUUCAGACUCGUUUGAUAAUAAAAAAUAAAACAUCUAAAUUAAUUAAGUGACACUGAAUUUUCUAAGCAAAAUUUGUUCGAAAAAUAAGUGAUAAGUUAUUCAUUUAUUACUUAAUAUGGUAUAUACUCAAAUAUAUUAGAUUUAGUGCUUAAUAAUUCAGUAACUUAAUGAAUUCAAAUUUUAGAUUUCAUAUUUGAAUUUUCAUAUUUCAGUUUUAUCAAACGCAUUCUAAAUCACCUUCAUAGAAUUGUGCACUCUAGUGUAUAGGGCAUCUACACAAAUAUUAUAUUAAGAGAUAAACUCUUUGGUUUAUGAGCCUCUUCAUUUUGAUAUUGCAUUAUCAUGAUUUUCAUAAACUUCAAAAGAAAACAACCCAAGAAUGUUAAAUGUGGUAACUAACCAAAUAAUUGCCAACUUGCAUCUUUUUCAAAGAAUGAAAUUAUUAUCCACACAUUUUACCUCAGUCUUUAUAACAAAAAUGUUGUAAAAUUAAGUUCAAUAAGCUUAUUUUGUAACCAAAACCUUGAUAUUCUUUUCGAUUGCAUGAACAUCAGGUUUGCCUUCAUCACCGUCCUAUAUUAUCUGUGCAGGUUGAGUCUAAAUAAACACUUUCGGUUUCCAUAAAGUAGAAGUUCCAACGUACCUGCAGGCAUAGUGCUCAAAGUGAUUGCUGUCACAUUUACAUAGAUAAAAUGUGCACUGCUUAACUCGGCAUUCAGUUCAUCGACCAGUGGCUUGAGCUCCUCAUUGAAUAACUGAACUUCACUAUUUAAAGAAUCCACACAUGUACCAUCUAUAGAUAACAAACCAGGCACACAACCAAGGAAACCUAGCCCAAAAAUAGCUAUUUUUCUUGCCCCCAAUCUGUACAAUUUCUAGCACCAAAAGGGAUACGAGUUAGGUUUUUUCUUUUUCUUUUUUAAAUGUAUAUUCAACGUGAACAUCAAAAUUUAAUGAUGGAAAAUGGAAAUUUGUUAAAAGAAAAUAAUUAUACGAACCCGUAGUUGCUGAGAAUAUUCUUUAAUCAACAUUCUAGCAAAUUGUCUUGGAGUACAUAGGCGGCUUGCAGCAUAACAUUCUGGCAGUAAGUAGCUGUCGAUGUAAUCGUUACUUCCAAUUGCAAAAGUAUACAAACAUUUGGCUAGGUAUUCUUUUGUUGCAGCUUCGUUCCCAAUUAAUCUCACAAGCUGCGAAGUUACUCUUCUAUGAUUUUGCAAUUGUUGGUUGAGGCUGACGAUAUCGCCCUAUUAGUAAAAAAGAAAGCAAUGUAGUGUGAGUUUUGGCUAGCUUGCCUCCCUCAAGAGGUCAGUAACAACAAAAAGAAAAGCAAAGCACCAAUACUGGAUUCUUGAGAUUUUGAAAUAAAUUUUUUAGCAUAAUUAGGUAAUAAUGAAUGUAUCCCAUUAGCUUUCUUUUAUUAAGCAAUUUUAAAGAAGUGGAAAUGUGUAUCAGACAAGAAAUUGGACAAUAAAAGAAAAAAUAGGUCAAGUUAUGAGUCAUGACUAUUUACAUUUCUAAUGAGGCCAUUGUGGCAUUGUGACCAGAAUCCAUGGUCCGCAGCUGAUAUGUUCACUACAUUAUUUGUUCCUUUUUUCAUUUUUCAUUUUCCCCCCAAGUAUUCUUACCACUUCAGUGUGCCAUAUGGUUCAUUUGUGUUAAAAUUGAAGACUAAUCCGCCAAUUGAAAAAUGGAGUUUGAUUUUUGUGCACUAACUUGGAAAAAGUUGAUAUAUUAAAUAAUAAUAGGUGGUCAAUAAAACUAUAGUAGUGACCAAACAAUACUGUUAAUGAUGCCAUGAAAAAAAUUGGCAAAAAGGGACUAGCAAUUAACCGGUAUUCUCAGAAUUUCAUUAGAUCUUUUGUUGAAAUCGAUGCAAUUGACAGGUGAAAUUUGUAUUUAAUAAACAUUUGGCUGUUUAAAGCAUUAAACUAUUUUGCAGAAACUAUAAGUUUCAUUUUGUUAUUGGGGUAAACCUCAAGUGAGAUAAAUGUAACCAACUCAAUUUACAAAAUGGUAAUUUGGGACUUUUAGAUAUAUAUAUAUAUAUAUAUUUUUGGUUGGUGCAUGCAACACAUGAUAGCGACUAAUGUCUGGGAGUAUUUGAUAUACGUUUUGUCAUUCAAGGGGUUUAACUAUAAUUUUGCAAAACAACAAGGUAGUUUUGUAAUUUGGUCAAAACCACAGGGAUGAUAAAUGUAAUUAACCCAAAAAACUAUAUAAAUAAUAUAAAUAAAAAUUUUCCAUUUGAAAUUCUCCUAGAUAAGACAAUUGUAUGAAUACUUAGAUCUAAAGUCAAAACGGGAAGAGGAAGGGAUGGAUUGGACAAUAUGGAAGGAAAGAAUAUAAGUGAGAGAUUUCAGUUCGAGGUCUCCGCUUACAUUAUAUUAAAAAAAAAAAGAAAUAAAAAGAAGAAGUCAGAACGGAAAGGUCCAAUGGAGCCCAAACAUUGGCCUUGAACUAUAGGCCCCCCAAACAAUUCUGUUCCAGUUCAAGGUUAAAUGAAAUUCACUUGAAUCAAGGAUCCAUGCCUCAUUAGUCUAUUUUAGUCCACUUCAAGUUUAAAUGUCUAUUUCAAAUUUUUGUAAAUCCUACUCUAAUUUGUUUAUAUUGUAUUGAAACUUAUGUACAUCUCAUUCUAACUUGUUUACACUCUAAAGGCCAGCUAAUUUGAUAUGGAACUUGUGACCAGAGAAGAAUGUGGAUAUAUGAUCAUGCCAGUAUCCCCUUAUUGGACCAUUCAUAGUACUGGAUUUUGGACAUAGUUCGAAAACCAUGGUGAAUAAGUGACUCGAAUCGUUGUCAAAAUAACUAAUCAGAAUUAAGUGCCCAUGCCAACAUGUCGUGGUUAAGCGAGGAUUAAGGGUCUAAGCUUGAGUCUACUUAACACUUCUAACUGGCAGUAUGCGAGAAUGAGCCUACACUUUGAUCUACACAUAGUGGACAAUCACUCUAGAUUUCAUUGCACACAAAAAUUAAAAGAAAAUGAAAAUCAAGAAGCCAAGUAGUCUCCUCACUAUAAUGUGAUUUGACCAUUUUUGGAUUGUCAUUUUUUCUCAAAAAAAUUUUACCUUUUCAUGAAUACAUUUUUCAAUCAUCAUAUAUAUCAAAUCGUUACAUUACAUUUUUUUUUAACAAAGACUUCAGAAAACAAUGAUCCAAACGGGAGCACAUUAUAAAUUAUUUUGGCCAGAAGGAAAUUUAUUUGCCAAUAUUCUAAUUCUCAAUUCAUAAAUAUUUAUAAAUGUUAAUGCAUCUUCUGAUUUAGUUAAAUUAUGUUUAACUCGAGAUCUACUGAGUGUAACACAUAAUAGAACCAUGUACAAUGUGUGUAUAGGUAAUUGAAGAAGACCACAAAUAAUAAACUUGGCAUUCAUGGACAUCCUCAUGUCAUAGUACUGUACAAGGUACUAUACAUUUUCGGUGUCAUAAAAAAAUUUUCGGUGGGCACAUUAAUGGCACCUGACUUAUUAGGCAGUGACAUGUUCUCGUUUUUGAACGUCAUAUAAAAGGUCUGGUACUACAAUGCGUCACAUUCCAACCCAGCAAAAACGCCUUUCAAGAAACAUGGACAAGAGCAUGGACAAGAAAAUGGCAGAAAAAGAAACAUGGACAAGAGCAAAAUUGAAAAAUAGAGACAAUUGGAGAGAGAGUUUAUGUUAGUCUUGAAAUUGAACAGAAUUGGAUUUCUUGAAUAUACUGCAAUUGCAAAACAAAGGGCCGUUAAAUCAGUUCUUAGCAUGUGGAUCGAUGAACAAAAUAUAAACUAUUUACUUUGCAUUGAGAUACAUAUACAGUAUCAUGUGAUUUUUUUUUUUUUUUUAAAAAAAAGGUUUAAAAUGGCUGAAGUGAUUUAGGCAAUUUUGUUUUCAUUUUGUAAGUGUAUUCUAACCAGAGUAAUGAGAGAAUAUAGUAACAUUGAUCUGAAAUUUCAAAACUUUUUAUUUUUCAAAACAAAAAUGUAUAAUUACCAGCUGGCGACCUGUCUGGUCAAGAAUUCCGGAUGCUGCUGAUGCAUAGUUAACGCCUUCAGUGAUGUCCUGGCCUUUGAUAUUUGCAAAUGGAGGCAUGUAGCCGGCAAAUCCAAGGAGCUCAGCUGCCAGAAACAGACGUAUACUUUCUUUCUAUCAUUAAGUAGCACAUAUCUAAGUGGCAAGCCCUAGCUUGUUUACGAAAUUCAUCUCUCUUUUUUUUCAGUCCUUAAACUUCAAGCAUCUCUUUACGAGAUAGAUUUCAUAUUUUAAGAGUAAUGUUCGAAGUUGAAGUUUAAGAACUAUAAAGUUGAUGCUUUCAUAUUUUAAGAGUUAAAAGUGUCCAAGAAUAAAAAUUAAAAACUCAGCUUGAAAUGCUUUUAGGAGUCCAAAGUGGAAUAUAGUCUUCAAUUCAUAAAAGAGUCCAUACGAAUCAAAAAACUUUUUGAAAGAAAUAAUACAAUUUAAAAAAAAAAAAAAAAAAAAGAAGUUUUGUGCUGGAUAUUGAAAAAGAAAGAGAUGGUUACCUAUGAAGUCCGCAUGGUUUCGCCCAUUGGUGAAGCGACCAGUUGGACCUUCCGGGAAAUCAAUGCCGUAAGGUGGAUAAUUUGCCUUGGCGGUAGUGUUCAGGUCAUUGUUGUUGCCAUUGUCAUCUUGUGAGUCACCGAAAAUGAAGUAACAAGGGACCUGUGGAUUGCCCAGAGCAAAUGGUUGCAAGAAGAAGAAGAUGACCAUUCCUACGACGGGCAAGAGAACCCAUUGCUUUGUUACAAAAGUCAUGAAUGCCGAUGAGGAAAGAAGCAAGUGAUAGGAAAAGCCAGACGCGGAGGUACCAAAGUCAUUGCCAAAAUAUAGAAGGCAGAGGAGCUAUUGCAGUUGGCUGUAGUGGUGGUCCACCUUGGGAGAGGGCGGAGCCACUCCAUCUCCAUGUGCAGCCUGUUAAACCUGACCCGGCAAAGGAGUCGGUGAUUGAUUCAACUAAUGAAUUGAUUGUUGAAUCUGUGGGUCGAUCACUAAAAAAAUAUUUAUAAGGGUAAAUUAUAUUAACUUCCCCUCUUGUUUUUACAAAAGUUAGGGAUCUCCACUCUUGAUCUCGGAACAAAGAGGACCUCCCCUCUUGUCUGCCAAAUAACAAGAAAAGCUUCCCUACCUAGCUAUGAUCAGGGGAGAAAUGUUAACUACUUUUGUCAUAAACUCAAUUCAAAGUCCCCAAACCACCAUUUCAAUGACACAAGUAAUUAUUUCCAAAAAAAAAUUAAGAAAAAUAGAGUGGAGUACCGAUCACACAUAAUUUUAUUUAUAGCCAUAAAAGUAAAUCCAUAAUACUUCUUUUCUAUAUUAGCUUUGCCACAAAAUAAGUUGAUGUCUUGAAUCAUUUAUGUAAUAUUCAUGUAUAUACAAGUUGAAAUUUUAAAUUGUUAAUAUAUUUGAUAAAUGUACAGUUUGGACACCUCAUUUUAUUAGAAUCCAAUUUAUUCUUGAAGUAGGUACACAUGCAAAUCUAUUAAUUUUGACUGGGAAGAAUAAAAAUAAUGAACAAAUUAAAUAUGGGAAAUCUUCAAAUUUUAAUGCAUAAAAAUCGCUUUAUUCUUCUUUUUUCCCCCCAUUUCUUAGAGAACUAAAGCUCUUUGUUUUGACAAUUUUCUUUUGUUUAAUAUAAGAUAAAGGGUAAAAAUGUAAAAUGAAAACUAUUGUAAAUGUUGACUUGAUGGAAGACAUUAUUGAUAAGAGAGGCUCAUGUUGUCUCAGAAUCACGAGAAGAGACCCCUGACUGUUGCAGGAAACUAGAGGGGAGGUCAGUGUAAUUCACCGUCUUUGCAAAUACAUGUGACAUAAUUAUUAGUUAUCUUGAGGUGCGUAGAAUUUAUAAAUAAAGUACUUCAUCAAUAUUAAUUAGUACAUCUAAAAAGAUAUAUUUUGAAUAUAUAAACUUAAUAAAUGAGUCAAUUUCUUUAUAUCAUACUUUAAAAAUAUAAAGCAUGCAUUCAAAGAUAAACAAAAAAUUAGCUUAUUUAUUAAAAGAAUAGGCUUUUAAGGAAAUAGAAUUAAGUUUUUGUCAAUACUUUGCCAAAAAAAUUCAAUUAAUUUUCAACCGUUGUUUACGUAAUAAUAACACUUUCAUAUUGAAAGUUGAAUUAAUUAUGCAAUAAUAAAGUAAACAAAUACAUUUGAAGGGACAUUUGGUCAACAAGUGAAAGUUUAUUUCCAAUAAUAAAGUCUUUUGCACGUCAAUGAAGACAUUCAUAUUUCCCCUUGAGAAAAAAUUGAACUUUAAACAAAAUUAUUUUGAGAUUCAAGGUCCAGACAUUGGUAAAAACAUACAUUUUGAUCCAAAAACAAAGACCUAUGUUAUUCAUCGCAGGGGAGGUUAGGUCAGUCCAAAUAAGGCUUGACCGAUUACAUAUUGUCAAAUUAAUAAGAUAAUUGUACACAGAUAUACAUCGGUCCAAUCUCAUUCCGAAUCAAUACUAUGAAGUGGACUCACAUUGGGUCUUAAUAUAUACAUGUGUGUGUGUGUGUGUGUGAGAGAGAGACCUUGAAGCAGGUUGGGCUUGGGCCACCAAGAUUUUAUUACCGGUUCGAUUUUAAUAUAUAGUAUCAGGACGUAGAGAUUAUGAAUUCAAAUUUCCUUUUCGCCUACUCUUUGUUUUCUAAAUCUCACCUCUUUUAAUUUUUUUUUUUAAAGUAGGUUAUAUAGUUGUAAGAGUAUAUAGGGUUAGAACAAUCACAGGGGCAAACUAGUAUACCAUGGUAUAAUCCCACCCCUUAUUUAUCUUGGGAAAACUGUUACCACCUCCAAUGUAAGAUUAUUUUAUCUUACGAAUGAGGGAUUAAUUUGGUAAAAUGAAAAGUCUAAUUGCAUAAAACUAACUAAAUAUGGGAUAACAUAAUAUUAAUAAUUUAAUCCUAUGUCAUCUCAUGCAACAAACUAGCGAAGUCUUUUAGACUAAUAAAGGCACGGUUUGAAUCCGAACGUAUUAUACUGACUGUCAAUUUAUUGUGGCAAAUCUGGAAAUCUAGAAAUGAGAAACAGUUCAAUGGUCAGGAAAGGAAUCCGUUAGUAGCAGUGAGUAAGGCAGUGGGGGAAUGGAAGGAGUUUCAGGAUGCUCAAGCAGAGGAAUUGGAGAGUCAGGGAAGUGGUAAGCAUGAAGCUGAGGGAUCAAGGGGGUGGAGGCUUCCUCAGGAAGGUUGGGUCAAGAUAAACACAGAUGCUGCAUUACAAAAGAAGGAAGGUCUGGCGGGAUGGGGAAUGGUUGCAAGGGAUUGGCAAGGGAAAGUUCUGAAAGCUUGGGCAAUACCAAACCGUAGCUGUUCUAAUCCAAAACUGGAGGAGUCAUUGGCUUUAAGAGCUGCCAUGUUGCUGGCAAAACAGCAGGGUUGGAAGAAGGUGAUGUUUGAAUCGGACUGCCUACAGGUGGUGGAGGAAAUUAACAAGGAGCAGUCGUAUGAGAUAGGCUCAGUAGUAUUAGAUGAUAUCAGGGAACUUAGGAAAAAUUUUUACGAAUGUUGUUUUACCUUUACUCGAAGAGUAAACAACUUUGUUAGCCAUAGACUUGCCAAAUUGGCAAUUAGCUUAACAAUACAAACUGAAUGGAAGGACAUCUUCCCAGACUGGCUGCCUGCACUGGUGCAAGCAGAUAUUGAGGGCAGUUGCCCAUCUUUCAUGUAAAGUUUAUGUUCAGUAAUAGAAUGUUACCGACCUUUUGACAAAAAAAAAAAAGAAUCCUCACUCAAUCAAACAUGUGAUUACAUAAAGGUCUUUUAGAACUAUAAGAACACUUAAUAAACUUUGAACGAGGAUUCUGCACAGACAUUGGGCUUUUACACAAUUCUAAUAGUAAUUAUAAAUGGUCUGAGAUUAAUGAUAACAUAUUGUUUCCAUUGAGGAGAUAAUGUCAUACUAGCACAUUCGGACUCUCCAGUUUUAUUACAUCGAGUUUGACUUGUUGGAAACUUGGAAUAUAGAAAUAUCAUGGGACACAUAGAUACAGUCUAUUGUAUCUUCACUUUAUCAUGACAGGUUUUGCCUGUAGGCCGCCAAUGGCAAGAGGAUCAGCAUCAAGUAAUGA